GACAGAGGGUGCAAACGUUGUUCGGAAUUACUGGGCGUAAAGCGAGUGUAGGCGGUCCUCUAAGUCGGGUGUGAAGCCCGGCCGUCAACCCACGGGAAGUGCACUCGAAACUGGAGGGCUAGAGUAUCGGAGAGGUUGGUGGAAUUCUCGGUGUAGAGGUGAAAUUCGUAGAUAUCGAGAGGAACCACCGGUGGCCGAAGGCGGCCAACUGGACGAAUACUGA
rnacentral:rRNA from 1 species